rnacentral:rRNA from 1 species
UACAGAGGUCCCAAGCGUUGUUCGGAUUCACUGGGCGUAAAGGGUGCGUAGGCGGUCGGGUAAGUCUGGCGUGAAAUCUCCAAGCCUAACUUGGAAACUGCGUUGGAUACUAUCCGGCUCGAGGAAUGGAGGGGAGACUGGAAUACUUGGUGUAGCAGUGAAAUGCGUAGAUAUCAAGUGGAACACCAGUGGCGAAGGCGAGUCUCUGGACAUUUCCUGACGCUGAGGAGCGAAAGUGUGGGGAGCGAACAGG